UACGGAGGGGGCUAGCGUUGUUCGGAAUUACUGGGCGUAAAGCGUGCGUAGGCGGACUGGAAAGUCAGAGGUGAAAUCCCAGGGCUCAACCGUGGAACUGCCUUUGAAACUAUAAGUCUGGAGUUAGUGAGAGGUGAGUGGAAUUCCGAGUGUAGAGGUGAAAUUCGUAGAUAUUAGAAGGAACACCAGUGGCGAAGGCGGCUCACUGGCUCGAUACUGACGCUGAGGUGCGAAAGCGUGGGGAGCAAACAGG
rnacentral:misc_RNA from 1 species